ACAGGGGCCAACCAGAUACCCCAAGGGGAAGCCCCAAACCAGGAGCCCAGCUCAAGAGCAACCUCUCCUCAUGUGGUUUCCAGCAACUGGUAUUCAGAAGCAUUGCUGCCUCUGACUGUGGAGGCAGAGCAUGGUCAUCAUUGCUGGUAGCCAAUGAAUUGGUCCAGCCCUCUUUAAAAGCCAUCCAGGUUGGUAGCCAUCUCUCUUUCCUGUGGGAGUGAGUUCCAUAGUUUAACUAUGUGCUGCAUGAAGGACUUUAUUCUCUCUGCUCUGAAUAUUCCAACAUUCAGCUUUCUUGGGCACCCACAAGUUCUGAGAGAGGGAGGAAAAUAUUUAUUCUGUCCCACUUUCGCCAUGCUGUGCAACAUUUUAUAAACUUCCAUGAUGUCACCUCUUUCUUGCUUUGUCUCUAAACUAAAAAGUCCCGAAUGUUGCAACUUUUCUUCCUAAGAGAUCAUCCCCCUGAUCAAGACAAAUUCCACCUGCCAAAGUAAAGGAGUAAAAGAAAAGAUCAGGUCAAGACCACUGAGAAUUCCUAGAAGUGAAUAUGGCAGGAGGGUAGGAAAACAGAGAUCCAGGAACACCAGUCUUACAACAUCCCCAUUCCUCAUCUUUGCUCCAAACUUCUCCAUCUCCAGAGCGCAGCCCAGUUUGAAAAACAGAGUUUUGCAUCCAUUUCAUCAUAAAGGAUUGUGCGACCUUUUAAGGCCCGGAUUUAUAAACCGCGGCGAAAGGCCUCGUGACGGGCAAGGGUCUGCUUCUGAAAUUGAACAAAUUGUCGUUUUAUGGCUCCUGCGUGCUGAGGGCGCCAUAAAUCGUGCUGCAUUUAAAGCAUCUGCUCUUUCCCAGCCGCACUCCCGGCUCCUUGAGAAGGAGGAGGAGAAAUGUCUGACAUUUCCUGACGUUGGCUAUAACGGGGGCCUCUGGGGAGCCCCUCGGAAAAGUUUUAAAAGCAGUAUUUAUGGAUGAUCACCAUGAAUCAGGGCCCUAAAAGGUAAGGCACAGCCUGUUCUUCAUUAAAGGUUUGGAAAUUCUGCACUGAGAUUUUCCCUGCGGGAAGACAAAAGAAAUUGAGUGAAAGAGAAAUGACUUUAGAGUUAAGCCAGAUCUAACCCCCUCCUCCUUUCAUUCUUUUUCUUUUUCUUUCAGCUUUUUUCCUUUCUCCUUUUCACCCCCCCCCAUUAUUAUUUUUCUUUGUACUUGUUCAUUGUCUAUUUUUCUAUUCCUUUUUCCCCCUUCCCUGUUAUUUGAUCAUUGAAGUAUGUUGCACCUGACUGUGGAGGCUCCAUUUCCCAAUGGAUUUGUCUAGCCCCUGCCCCUUUUUGAAAUCUGAAAAGACACCCCUCAGCACACACAGAGGCAUUCGCUGUGGCAAUUCGAACUUCUAUUAUGGAGUCCGCUCCUGUCAGAGUCAGGCCAAUCUAGCUGCGAGGCUCUCCUGAAAGCCGUGGCGUAUGAACUUUGUGUUUGGGUUGCCUUUCAGUGGCUGAGUCCUUUUUAAUUACCUUUUUAAUGUUUGAAUCAUUUGGGGGGAUUGAUGUUGUGUUGAAGCUUCCAGGGAACGACGAAUCUCAGUUGAGAGUCUUCUGCUGGUUCAGUUAUAUGGGAAUAUUUUACAUCCUAAAAUAAGAGGCUGGAUGUUGAUCUUCAACUUUCAACAAUGAGGAAUUCCUCAUUUCUAAGUUGGUUUUGAUGAACUAAAGAAACAAUAUAAUUUGGAGAUUUUGUCACCAACAUCUCUACUAUUCAUUCAUUCCAGAUUCAGGUUCACCAGGGGUGGGGAUUGUAUUUUGGUAUAUCUGGUGUUUUUAUCAUCACCAUCAUUAAUUAAUUUAUUAAAUUUAUAUACUGCUCUUCAUCAAAAGAUCUCAGGGCAGUUCAUAAGUUUUUUGGCUGCAAGAUGUUUUAUUUCAUAUGUGGCUUUUUAUUGAAAUUAUAUGAGUCUCUCUCACGCACACUUUAACCUUUUAUUAUUGUAUUGCAGUGAUGUAUGGAAGCAUCGUUUUCCCAUUCUGUCCUGUGUUUGUCACAAGCAGCCCUGCUUCUUUUGCUCCAAAGUUAUAUCUCCCACCCAAAAGGACGUUCCUCGUCUCGCUGUCGCAAAAUUGCAUAGCUUAUGCAUACCAUACUUUUCCAUCUGUAAGACUAUUUGGAGACUCAGAUUUAAGAAAUGGGGGGAGAUGGCACAGAGUUGUUGAGUUUUUUUAGGGGGGAUUGCCAGAAAUCACUCAUCUCCUGUCUGUCCCAUUGCCGGCAGAAGCUGCCAAUCGCCCCCCAAACUGCCAGAGCGUCAGCCAAUCAACACCAAACCAUUGAUGCAGCAAUCAAUAAUACACACAAUACCUUAUGCACUACCCAUAUAUAAGACGACCCCCACUUUUUUGCAUGAUUUUUAAAUUAAAAAACAUAGUCUUAUACAUGGGAAAGUAUGGUAAUUAAUUUCAUAAGUUCCAAUGCCAUCAUUUUCAGAAUGAAAGCAACAGCGACAGCAGCAAUUUUUUUAAUUUAUAUUUUAUAGAAAUUUUUCCGUGGACAAAUAAAGUGAAAGAAAUGGGGGGGGGGUGGACACACCCCAAAAGGUACGUGAAACUUUAACAGAAUACAAUACAUAGGUAUAUACCGUAUUCUUCGCUCUAUAAGACGCACCAGACCACAAGAUGCACCUAGUUUUUGGAGGAGGAAAACAAGAAAAAAAAAUAUUCUGAAUCUCAGAAGCCAGAACAGCAAGAGGGACCACUGCGCAGUGAAAGCAGCAAUCCCUCUUGCUGUUCUGGCUUCUGGGAUAGCUGCGCAGACUGCAUUCGCUCCAUAAGACACACACACAUUUCCCCUUACUUUUUAGGAGGGAAAAAGUAAGUCUUAUACAGCAAAAAAUAUGGUAAAUAAUUGUAUACUCAUUGGGCAGCAGUGAAUAUCGAUCAUAUUCACUGGAUUUAUUUCUGUUCCUGACAUGGGAUAAAUAAGCAGAGGUGGGCAAUUUCUGCUCCUGUUCCUCUUUUCAUCCGAAUUCUCCGACAAUUCUGUGAUAUUGUAACACCACAGAUUUCUUUAUAUCGUUUUAAGGUCCCAUUGGCUUUGCCUGGGGCUUGUUUGUUUGUUUGUUUGCUGUUGUCUUUAGAACUGCCUUUACACAUAGUAACCUCCUCCCCAAAAGUGCUAGAAUUAGCAGGUUGGCUGUCAUAAGUUUUUGGACUGUGUUUCAGUUCUAGCAAUGUUACACCCCCACUCCACCUCCCCGGCCUUUCCCCUUCUUUCCCUUUCAAAGUUUCCCUUGGAAUGUGCAACGAAACCUGCCUCAAAAUAACACUGGGCUGCUGCCCAGCUGGGGGCGUUGUAACUUGGAGCAGAGCUCUCUGUGUGUGCUGCUUUAAUUCAUAGAUAAGAGCAAGAGAAAGAACCCAGCUGGAUCGAGGCAAAGGAGGCCAUCUAGUCCAGCAUCUUGUUCUCACAGUGGCCAAGGAGAUGCCCCAAAGGGAAACCCAGAGAGCAAGAGCCCUCUCCCCUCCUGAGGUUUCCGAUAACUGAGAUUCAGAAGCUUCCUCCAGGCAGAAUGUGACAUAACCAUCAUGGCUAGUAGCCAUUGAAAGCCUUAGCCUUUGUCCAACCAUCUUUUAAAGCCAUCCAAGCUUUGUGCAUAUUCCACCAGGAAUAAAUGAAACAAGAAGCCAUUCUAUUGUUAUCCUCCAUAAACUCCCGUUAUAGGUGGUAGCCAUCACUGGCAGGAAAGGCCACAGUUUAACUGUGUUAAAAAGGCUUCCUUUGGCCUCCUUCAUUGGAUGAGCCCGGG
rnacentral:lncRNA from 1 species